AAAUCAUAAACUGUUCAGAGUUUCCUGCGAGUUUAGUGAAACACUUAAAGACUUGUCUGAAGUCUCUUCAAGCAUAUUCAAAUGCCUUCAGCCUAUAUGGCAGCUUGUUAGUACGGAAUGUUACCCUGCCAUUCUGUUUCCCCUGCUUUACUGAAGGAAGAUGUUCUUGGAAUAUUCAGCAAAAUUUACGCCCACUCAAGCUGCAUUACCCAGUGCUUGCAUGUUUGGAAUUCAUCUUUACUGAAGGGUGGAAAGUGCUCCGUAAUUCACAGGAACAACCUUUAAUAUACUGUACAUGGAUAUCCUGGAUACUACUGAGGACUAGAAGGAGGGAAUAAAACAUUACAAAGAGGAUCUUUCUCUACUGAAGAAAAAAGGAGUUCCAGUGAGCCUGAAUAACAUGUUUCAGGGUCCAUGAAACGCAUCUACAAGCAAAUUUGGAACUACUUGUCUUAGGAAAUAUGGAACUACAGGAUCAUGCCCAUAACUUCCAUAAGACAGAGUUUUGAGAACGGAAGAGGAAACUAUGUAAUAUUACAACUAUCACUAAAUGGGUAUCCAGUAUGUUCUCCCUGGCCAAAGCCUGGGAAAACUGGUAAGGCUGUCACAUGUAGCUGAAUUUCUUGCUCUGUGGUCAUUUCCUUUCACAAAACUGUCUGAAGCCAGUGUUGUUUCCUUAGCACUGCUAUUGUUACUUCUGCUAUUUUAAUGAAAGUAGCAUGGAUAUGUCUGCCCUACUAGGGAAAGAUGUUAACUGUAUAAAGGGGCACACUAUCCUUUUUCUGCUGGUGACCUCUGAUUAAGUCAUUCUUGUGUGUAGCCUUUGCAGUUCCAUCUGACACUGUAAAUGGAGACUUUUGAGCUGUAGGACACUCGUUACUAUGAAAAUUGUAGUUUAGUUUUCUUUUUUUUUUUUUUUUUUUUUUUUAAAUCCAUCUAAUAAUUCAUGCAAAUUUGAUUAGCAAAGAGAAGAAUAUUUUUCUAACUAUAAACAUUACCAGGGCUAAAAAAAAUUCUUUAUGUAUUUUUUUUGUAUUACUGAAAAGAGCACAACAUCCUGCUCCUUCUCCAUUUCAGUCUUCACCAUUUUCCUGCAAAAAUGGUGGUGCACAGCUGUAGAUUCUUUUGAAUUCCUCCUUCAGAAGGAAAGGUACAGUGUUUGUGAAUAACUGGCCUGACUGCCCAAGGCAAUCACCUAUCAUUGCUGUGUUAAGGACAGCAGCAUAAACUUCAAAGAGAUUGACACAGGUGAUUUUUGCCUGCAAUGAAUGGAGCUAGCUGUUAGUAGCUUUGGUUUUAUCUUGACAUGGAUGACUGGACAGCAUUCAAAAUCUCUAUCUUGGAAAUAUGACUUCUCUGUCUGGACGGAGUUCCAUGUAUUUUUUGAGUAGCAUCUCAUGCACACUUUCUAAACAUAACUGAAAGUGGUCUCUGUGUUUUCCUUAGUUCUUUUGUGUUUCCUGUCAUUAUCAAUGAAAGCAUUCAUUAUGAUUCUGAUCCCUUUUAUUGCAAAUAUAAAUAAAAUCUGACAAAUUUGUAAGUAAAUCCUUUAGUGCUGGAAGCUGAUAGAAUAGGGCAAAAAUUAAUUUUAUGCAUGAAAAAUCUCAUUAAGCAGCUUCAUGGAAAUAAAAGAAACUGGCAUCAGAGCCCAUGAUGUAUGCAGUUCAUUACUUUGCCAUUGCUGCCAUUCAGCCCAGCCUAUUAAUGCUGCUCAUAUGAGCUGUACUCUCCUUCACAGGAUCUGUGUUGGUCUACCUAUAUGACACAUAGGUCAAUGCAAUCUGGGGAAAAAUACCUUGCUAUUCUCAUACGUGUUCAGAAACUUAAUAAACACCAGAUG